rnacentral:rRNA from 1 species
UACGUAGGAGGCAAGCGUUGUUCGGAAUUACUGGGCGUAAAGAGUGUGUAGGCGGUGCUCUAAGUUCGGUGUGAAAUCUCCUGGCUCAACUGGGAGGGUGCGCCGGAAACUGGAGUGCUUGAGCGUGGGAGAGGAAAGCGGAAUUCCUGGUGUAGCGGUGAAAUGCGUAGAUAUCAGGAGGAACACCUGUGGUGUAGACGGCUUUCUGGACCAUAGCUGACGCUGAGACACGAAAGCGUGGGUAGCAAACAGG